rnacentral:rRNA from 1 species
UGAUAGCAAGCUGUACUUGUACAGCGAAGUGGUUGAUGCCAUGCUUCCAGGAAAAGUCUCUAAGCUUCAGUUACACAGGAAUCGUACCCGAAACCGACACAGGUGGUCAGGUCGAGUAGACCAAGGCGCUUGAGAGAACUCUGCUGAAGGAACUAGGCAAAAUGGUACCGUAACUUCGGGAGAAGGUACGCUGUUGUUGGUGAUGGAACUCGCUUCCUGAGCUGACGACAGCCGCAGAAACCAGGCCGCUGCAACUGUUUAUUAAAAACAUAGCACUCUGCAAACACGAAAGUGGACGUAUAGGGUGUGAUGCCUGCCCGGUGCUGGAAGGUUAAUUGAUGGGGUUAGCGUAAGCGAAGCUCUUGAUCGAAGCCCCAGUAAACGGCGGCCGUAACUAUAACGGUCCUAAGGUAGCGAAAUUCCUUGUCGGGUAAGUUCCGACCUGCACGAAUGGCAUAAUGAUGGCGGCGCUGUCUCCAGCAGAGGCUCAGUGAAAUCGAAAUCGCUGUGAAGAUGCAGUGUACCCGCGGCUAGACGGAAAGACCCCGUGAACCUUUACUGCAGCUUGACACUGAACUUUGACCUUACUUGUGUAGGAUAGGUGGGAGGCUUUGAAGCUGGAACGCUAGUUCCAGUGGAGCCGUCCUUGAAAUACCACCCUGGUAAUGUUGAGGUUCUAACUCUGUCCCGUGAUCCGGGACGAGGACCGUGUCUGGUGGGUAGUUUGACUGGGGCGGUCUCCUCCUAAAGAGUAACGGAGGAGUACGAAGGUGCGCUCAGCGUGGUCGGAAAUCACGCGUAGAGUAUAAAGGCAAAAGCGCGCUUAACUGCGAGACCCACAAGUCGAGCAGGUACGAAAGUAGGUCUUAGUGAUCCGGUGGUUCUGUAUGGAAGGGCCAUCGCUCAACGGAUAAAAGGUACUCUGGGGAUAACAGGCUGAUACCGCCCAAGAGUUCAUAUCGACGGCGGUGUUUGGCACCUCGAUGUCGGCUCAUCUCAUCCUGGGGCUGAAGCAGGUCCCAAGGGUAUGGCUGUUCGCCAUUUAAAGAGGUACGCGAGCUGGGUUUAGAACGUCGUGAGACAGUUCGGUCCCUAUCUACCGUGGGCGCUGGAAAUUUGAGAGGAUCUGCUCCUAGUACGAGAGGACCAGAGUGGACGAACCUCUGGUGUACCGGUUGUGACGCCAGUCGCAUCGCCGGGUAGCUAUGUUCGGAAGGGAUAACCGCUGAAAGCAUCUAAGCGGGAAGCCUACCUCAAGAUAAGAUUUCCCUAGGACUUUAUGUCCUCUAAAGAGCCGUUCGAGACUAGGACGUUGAUAGGUUGGAUGUGGAAGCAUAGUGAUAUGUGAAGCUGACCAAUACUAAUUGCUCGUGAGGCUUGACUAU